GGGGCGGAUGGGACAGUCCGAGCGCCGCCGCCGCUGCUCCGGCCCCUGCCGGCCCCGCUUGCCUUCUCCCCGCCGCGGAUGGACUCGGAUCUUCCGGGCCUAAGUCCCCCUUCAGCUGCCUAAAGGAGCCGCCGCCAUCGCGCUGUGACGUCACUUCCCCUAGCAACCCGGAGGGGCGGGGCCACGCCGCUGGGGCGGGGAAGGGGGCGGGGCCCGAUGCUUCGGUCGGCGCUGGCGCAUGCGCCCAGCUGCAUCCGCUCUGGGCUCCGGGAUCCCGGGCCUGUUCCGCCUUCCCACUGGCGGGCUCCCCUGGGUCGCUCGGGGCUUUGGGUUGCAAGUGUCAGGGAAGCCAGCCGGUCCUCUCGACAGACCUGGGAAAGGUGCCAGGCAGUGCCCUUUGCACGAGGACAGAGGGUCCCAGCCCUGGAUCAGGGGUCAUAAGUGUGCAGUCCACCCUGACAGGAGCUGCCAUUUUCUGGACUUUGGGCGCUGCAGGACAUCAGUACCUGCGGUGUUUGGCUGCCCACCCCUUCUCAGUACCAAGCGAAGGGGGAGGAAGAGCUGGCCUCCUGGUCCACCUCUGUCCACCUCUGGGGCCCUCAAAGUGGGCAAUAAGAUGGGUGGAUGGUGAAACCACCAAGGGUGCAGAGGGUGAGGCCCAGACAUCUGUCUCCUCUCCCUGCAGUGCCAUCAGCCUGGACACAAGUCAACAUCUUUAUCUGAUCCUUGUUGAAUGUGAACUUGCUUCUGGAAAAAGCAAACAAGGAUGUGGAAGUUCAAGUUGACAACUGGCUUCAGACAGAGGAAUCCCCCAGAGAAGCCCCACACAGGGGAUGGCACAGAAGGCCCUUGCCAGAUGCAAGCCUCUUGACCUUGGGCUCUUCAGCCUCCAAAGGGACACCGUCAAUACGCUCUCUCCUCCGGACAAGAAGAGCUCUGCGCUAGUGGGGACGAUGGGUCCUUUCUGCUGCCCCGGCUGUGGCAAUGGACAGUGGCCCCCUAGCAGGAUGGCAUCCUUUCCUGCAGACUCUGAAGAGGAGGGACCAGGAGCCCUCCAGGCUUGGCCUGCCUCUUGCACAAGGCCAUGGAGGCGCAGAACCCACAUGGCAGCAAGAAGCUCUUCAGCUCUGUUGACCGUGGGUGAGUACAAGGGUUCCGUGGAGAGGAGGCCUGCGGGGCUCGGGGGAGCCCUAGAGUGGUGGAGAGCCAGCUGGGCUUGGUCUGGGGUCUGGGUGCUCCAGGCUUUGAGGCAAUGGCAGGCACUUGGCCCAGAGACUUCCAGACUCGGGUUCUAACCACCCUCCCCAUCAGAGGCUCUCAGCAGGCUUCUAUCCAACCCUGUCCUGAUCACUUCUUGGAACAUCAGAGGCCUGUCUGUGCAAGCAGUGGACAGAAUGACCACUGGUGCUGCCCAUCAGCUUCCUGGUCCUCCAUGUGGACUGUGCAUACUGACUUACAGCAUGAGGAGUUGGGGGAAAGAAUCCUUCAUUGGAGCACUGCCUCUUGAAACGAUGAGAUGGGAAAGGCACUUUGUGAUCUUCCUUCCCUAACAUCCCAAGCCCCAGUCAAAACAGGAGGAAAACAUCAGGCAAAUCCCAGCAGAGGGAUAGUGUAAAAACUGACCAGUGCUCCUAACUGUGAAGACCAGAACAAUGAAAAGUCUGAGAAAAGCAUAGCCAUGAGGAGACAGGACAAGUAAGUGUCACGUGGGAUCUUGGAUGGGAUCCUGGAGAGAAAAGCAUCUCGGGGAACUUGGAUGAAGUAUAAGCUUUAGUGAUGCACCAACACUGGCCCUAAUGGAAGCUGUUAACAGAAGGGAAACUGGGUGUGAGGUCGUGGGAACUCUCUGAUAUCUCCACAGCUGAUCUGUAAGCCUAAAUUCAUUCCAAACUAAAAAUGUUACCGAAAAAAUGUUUAAAAAUUGCUUUAGUUUUCUGAUUGUUCCCACAACAAGCUAAAGGUCUUCCCUGUUACUCCCAGCUUGCUAAUAACAAUGGGUCUUUAAAUCUAUCAUUUCUUGAGAUGAUAAAAUAGAAGCACACAAAGCACAUCAACAGGGUUGCCCGUGGGUCAGGGGAAUGAGCAAGGAAUGAUUCAGUGGAGUGCUGAGAUGGAAUCAUAUUCCAUGACCCAGGGACUGCCUAAAGUAGGUCCAUCAAAAGAAAGAAAGAAGGAAGCCAGGCAAGGGUCCCACCUGUGGUCCCAAUACCCAGGAGCAGAGGCAGGAGGAUCAAGUUCAAGGUCAGCUAGGACAACUCGGUGAGACCCUAUCUCAAAAUAAUUUUUAAAAACGGGCUGGGGAUGUAGCUUAAUGGUAGAGUGUUUGCCUAGCAUAUUCGAGGUCCUGGGUCUAAACCCCCAGCACUGCAAAAACAAAACAAAACACAAAUAAAAGAAGAAAAUUGGUUGUAAGAUAGAAAGCUGGUGAGCCAGCUGCAGAGCCUCACUGACUUUCUGGAGAGCAUCUGUUGACCUGGCAGGGAGAAGACUGGCCACUCGAUGCACCAGCCACAGGAUACCCAUUGUGAAGUUAUGGGAGAUGAUGAAAAAAUAGGGGCUGGGAUUGUGGCUUAACGGUAGAGCGCUUGCCUAGCAUGUGCAGGGCCCUGGGUUUGAUCCUCAGCACCACAUGAAAGUAAACAAAUGGAAUAGGGGUAUUGUGUCCAACUAUAAAAAAAAAAAAGAAAAAGAACAGAAAUUAAUGUCACAAUUUAAGAAACACUCAAAUAGAACUAUUUUUAAAUAUGGAAAGAGAA